rnacentral:piRNA from 1 species
UGGGUAUCUGGAUGCCUUAGAAUGUGUU